GCUGGAGCUUUGUGGUAGAGCUCUUGCCUCUCAGGCGUGAGGCCCUGGGUUCAAUCCCCAGCACCAGCC
rnacentral:tRNA from 1 species